AUGCGCACCGGUUGACGAACGUGAACAUUGCCGCCUCCCCCUCUGCACACCACCGAGAAACACAGCGCGACUCGUCAGCUCGCCCGCCAUUACACUACCGAAGCUCACUCGCACAAACAAAGAAGAAACCAGGAAGCAUGAAUUUGCCACAAAUCUAUUUACCUCUCCAUGAAAUCAAAAGGAGCACAAUGACGGCGAUACAUCUCGGCAACCCCAUCGGGGAUAGCUGCUGGUAAACGCAAUGCAGAGCUCGGCGGCAAGCGCGUGCAAUGUCAGGACAGAGCAGCGCACCUACUCCUCACUCUCACUCUUCAGCAGCUGGUAAUGGUGUGUGGUAACGUGACAGUUCGUUGAUUUGGAGGAGAUGGAGAAAGACGAGGGCAAUGGGCGCACAGGAAAGAGAGGGGGAAAGGAUAGGGGAGGGGGAAUCUUGAGUGUGGCUCCCGAUGAACGAACUUUACUUUAGCCUUUGUUUGGGUACCCCGGUGGCAUCGAGCAUGGGCACACGUACGGUAAAUUCUAUUCUGCUUGGGAUGGCCCUCGAUACUGCGGCCCCGCCGUGAAAGAUCAUUUUUCUUCAAUGGCCUUCUUUGGAUACUCUAGCUCUUAGAGUUAGAUUUUAAGAGCAAUUUC
rnacentral:lncRNA from 1 species